rnacentral:rRNA from 1 species
UGCCCUAGUAAGGUGAAACCGCGAAUGGCUCAUUAAAUCAGUCAUGGUUCCUUAGAACAUACCAUCCUUCUUGGAUAACUGUGGUAAUUCUAGAGCUAAUACAUGCAACUGAGCUCCGACCCUUGUGGAACGAGCGCUUUUAUUAGACCAAAGACCAAUCGGAGCUUCGGCCCCGUCAGUCUGUGGUGACUCUGGAUAACUUUUAGCGGAUCGCAUGGUCAUCGUGCCGGCGACUCCUCUUUCAAAUGUCUGCCUUAUCAACUUUCGAUGGUAGGUUAAUUGCCUACCAUGGUUGUAACGGGUGACGGGGAAUCAGGGUUCGAUUCCGGAGAGGGAGCCUGAGAAACGGCUACCACAUCCAAGGAAGGCAGCAGGCACGCAAAUUACCCACUCCCAGUACGGGGAGGUAGUGACGAAAAAUAACAAUGCGGGACUCUUACGAGGCCCCGUAAUUGGAAUGAGUCCACUUUAAAUCCUUUAACGAGGACCUAUUGGAGGGCAAGUCUGGUGCCAGCAGCCGCGGUAAUUCCAGCUCCAAUAGCGUAUACUAAAGUUGUUGCGGUUAAAAAGCUCGUAGUUGGAUGUCAGUCGCGGGCGGGCGGUCCACCGUUUUGGUGGUUUACUGCUCGUCCCGCGACCUACUCCCCGGCCUCCCCCGCUAUGCUCUUCACCGGGUGUGGCGGGUGGCCGGAAAGUUUACUUUGAAAAAAUUAGAGUGCUCUAAGCAGGUGCUUGCCGCCUGAAUAACACAGCAUGGAAUAAUGGAAUAGGACCUCGGUUCUAUUUUGUUGGUUUUCGGAAUUCCGAGGUAAUGAUUAAUAGGGACAGACGGGGGCA